GCCCCGGUAGCUUAAUGAGUAGAGCGUGGCGCUGAAGAUGCUGAGGAGGGAAGUUUGUCUCCCGGGGCA
rnacentral:tRNA from 1 species